rnacentral:rRNA from 1 species
UACGUAGGGUGCAAGCGUUGUCCGGAAUUAUUGGGCGUAAAGAGCUCGUAGGCGGUCUGUCGCGUCUGCUGUGAAAACUCGGGGCUUAACCCCGGGCCUGCAGUGGGUACGGGCAGACUAGAGUGCGGUAGGGGAGACUGGAAUUCCUGGUGUAGCGGUGAAAUGCGCAGAUAUCGUAAGGAAGACCAGUGGCGAAGGCGGGUCUCUGGACAGUUCCUGACGCUGAGGCACGAAGGCCAGGGGAGCAAACGGG